UGUCUUUUUGAAAAUAAUAUAAAGUCUAAUCUGCCCACUGAUUUAAUAAUUGAAGGGCUGCAGUAUAUUGACUGUACAAAGGUAGCAUAAUCAUUAGUCAUUUAAUUGAUGACUUGAAUGAAGGAUUGGAUGAAAUAUAAACUGUCUCUUGAUUAAAUAUAUAUAUAAUUUAAUUUUUUAAUUAAAAAGUUAAAAUAAUUUAAAAAGACGAGAAGACCCUAUAGAGUUUUAUAAAUAAAUUAAUUAAGAUUAUUUAUUAGAUAAAAAUUAAAAUUAAAUUGUUUAUUGUAUUGGGGUGAUAGAAAAAUAUAAUUAACUUUUUUUAUAUGUAUUAACAUUUAUAAGUGAUUAAAUGAUCCAAUAUUAUUGAUUAUAAGAAAAAAUUACCUUAGGGAUAACAGCGUAAUUUUUUUUUUUAGUUCAUAUAAUAAAAAAAGUUUGCGACCUCGAUGUUGGAUUAAGAUAAAAUUUAAAUGCAGAAG
rnacentral:rRNA from 1 species